rnacentral:tRNA from 1 species
GCCGCUGUAGCUCAGCCGGAUCAGAGUGCGACGCUACGAACGUCGAGGCCGGGGGUUCGAUUCCCUCCAGCGGCUCCA